AUUGAACGCUGGCGGCAGGCCUAACACAUGCAAGUCGAGCGGAUGAAGGGAGCUUGCUCUGGAUUCAGCGGCGGACGGGUGAGUAAUGCCUAGGAAUCUGCCUGGUAGUGGGGGAUAACGUCCGGAAACGGGCGCUAAUACCGCAUACGUCCUGAGGGAGAAAGUGGGGGAUCUUCGGACCUCACGCUAUCAGAUGAGCCUAGGUCGGAUUAGCUAGUUGGUGGGGUAAAGGCCUACCAAGGCGACGAUCCGUAUCUGGUCUGAGAGGAUGAUCAGUCACACUGGAACUGAGACACGGUCCAGACUCCUACGGGAGGCAGCAGUGGGGAAUAUUGGACAAUGGGCGAAAGCCUGAUCCAGCCAUGCCGCGUGUGUGAAGAAGGUCUUCGGAUUGUAAAGCACUUUAAGUUGGGAGGAAGGGCAGUAAGUUAAUACCUUGCUGUUUUGACGUUACCAACAGAAUAAGCACCGGCUAACUUCGUG
rnacentral:rRNA from 1 species